rnacentral:rRNA from 1 species
GACGAACGCUGGCGGCGUGCUUAACACAUGCAAGUCGAACGGAAAGGCCCUGCUUUUGUGGGGUGCUCGAGUGGCGAACGGGUGAGUAACACGUGAGUAACCUGCCCUUGACUUUGGGAUAACUUCAGGAAACUGGGGCUAAUACCGGAUAGGAGCUCCUGCUGCAUGGUGGGGGUUGGAAAGUUUCGGCGGUUGGGGAUGGACUCGCGGCUUAUCAGCUUGUUGGUGGGGUAGUGUCUUACCAAGGCUUUGACGGGUAGCCGGCCUGGUCGGGUGACCGGCCACAUUGGGACUGAAAUGCGGCCCAGACUCCUACGGGAGGCAGCAGUGGGGUAGAUUGCACAAUGGGCGGAAGCCUGAUGCAGCAACGCCGCGUGCGGGAUGACGGCCUGCGGGUUGUAAACCGCUUUCGCCUGUGACGAAGCGUGAGUGACGGUAAUGGGUAAAGAAGCACCGGCUAACUACGUG